AACGCUGGCGGCAUGCCUAACACAUGCAAGUCGAACGAGACCUUCGGGUCUAGUGGCGCACGGGUGCGUAACGCGUGGGAAUCUGCCCUUGGGUUCGGAAUAACAGCGAGAAAUUGCUGCUAAUACCGGAUGAUGACGUAAGUCCAAAGAUUUAUCGCCCAAGGAUGAGCCCGCGUAGGAUUAGCUAGUUGGUGAGGUAAAGGCUCACCAAGGCGACGAUCCUUAGCUGGUCUGAGAGGAUGAUCAGCCACACUGGGACUGAGACACGGCCCAGACUCCUACGGGAGGCAGCAGUGGGGAAUAUUGGACAAUGGGCGAAAGCCUGAUCCAGCAAUGCCGCGUGAGUGAUGAAGGCCUUAGGGUUGUAAAGCUCUUUUACCCGGGAUGAUAAUGACAGUACCGGGAGAAUAAGCCCCGGCUAACUCCGUG
rnacentral:rRNA from 1 species